rnacentral:rRNA from 1 species
UUUUAUUUGAGAGUUUGAUCCUGGCUCAGGAUGAACGCUGGCGGCGUGCCUAACACAUGCAAGUUGAGCGAUUUACUUCGGUAAAGAGCGGCGGACGGGUGAGUAACGCGUGGGUAACCUACCCUGUACACACGGAUAACAUACCGAAAGGUAUGCUAAUACGGGAUAAUAUAUUUGAGAGGCAUCUCUUGAA